AUUGAACGCUGGCGGCAUGCUUUACACAUGCAAGUCGAACGAAGUCUUCGGACUUAGUGGCGGACGGGUGAGUAACACGUGGGAACGUACCUUUUGGUUCGGAACAACUCAGGGAAACUUGAGCUAAUACCGGAUGAGCCCUUAGGGGGAAAGAUUUAUCGCCGAAAGAGCGGCCCGCGUUAGAUUAGCUAGUUGGUGAGGUAAAGGCUCACCAAGGCUACGAUCUAUAGCUGGUCUGAGAGGAUGAUCAGCCACACUGGGACUGAGACACGGCCCAGACUCCUACGGGAGGCAGCAGUGGGGAAUCUUGCGCAAUGGGCGAAAGCCUGACGCAGCCAUGCCGCGUGAAUGAUGAAUGUCUUAGGAUUGUAUAAUUCUUUUACCAGGGACGAUAAUGACGGUACCUGGAGAAAAAGCCCCGGCUAACUUCGUGCCAGCCGCCGCGGUAAUAC
rnacentral:rRNA from 1 species